UACGGAGGGUGCGAGCGUUGUCCGGAAUUACUGGGCGUAAAGCGCACGUAGGCGGAUUGUUAAGUCGGGGGUGAAAUCCUGGAGCUCAACUCCAGAACUGCCUUCGAUACUGGCGAUCUCGAGUUCGGGAGAGGUGAGUGGAACUGCGAGUGUAGAGGUGAAAUCGGUAGAUAUCGGGAGGAACACCAGUGGCGAAGGCGGCGAUCUGGGAAGAUACUGACGCUGAGGUGCGAAAGCGUGGGGAGCAAACAGG
rnacentral:rRNA from 1 species